UACGGAGGAUGCAAGCGUUAUCCGGAAUGAUUGGGCGUAAAGCGUCCGCAGGUGGCUGUGUAAGUCUGCUGUCAAAGAGCAAAGCUCAACUUUGUAAAGGCAGUGGAAACUACACGGCUAGAGUGCGUUCGGGGCAGAGGGAAUUCCUGGUGUAGCGGUGAAAUGCGUAGAUAUCGGGAGGAACACCAGUGGCGAAGGCGGUUGCCUGGAGCUUUGCUGACGCUGAGGCGCGAAAGCGUGGGGAGCGAUCCGG
rnacentral:rRNA from 1 species